rnacentral:rRNA from 1 species
AGAGUUUGAUCAUGGCUCAGAACGAACGCUGGCGGCGUGCUUAAUACAUGCAAGUCGUGCGUGAAAGAGGAGCAAUCCUCGAGUAAAGCGGCAAACGGGUGAGUAACACGUAAGUAAUCUACCUCCAAAUCCGGGAUAACCUUGCCAACGCGGGGCUAAUACCGGAUGUGGUCCCAUGGUUCAUGAUUGUGGGAUUAAAGAUGACCUCUAUUUAUAAGUUAUCGCUUGGAGAUGAGCUUGCGGCCCAUUAGCUAGUUGGCGGGGUAAUAGCCCACCAAGGCUGUGAUGGGUAGCCGGCCUGAGAGGGUGUACGGCCACAUUGGGACUGAGAAACGGCCCAGACUCCUUCGGGAGGCAGCAGUAGGGAAUUUUGCGCAAUGGACGAAAGUCUGACGCAGCAACGCCGCGUGAGUGAUGAAGGUCUUCGGAUUGUAAAGCUCUGUUGAAUGGGAAGAAAAGUUUCAGGUACAAUAUGCCUGGAACCUGACGGUACCGUUCGAGGAAGCCCCGGCUAACUACGUGCCAGCAGCCGCGGUAAUACGUAGGGGGCAAGCGUUGUUCGGAAUUACUGGGCGUAAAGGGAGCGUAGGCGGGUCAGUAAGUUAGAAGUUUAAUGCACAGGCUUAACCUGUGACUUGCUUUUAAUACUGCUAAUCUUGAGUAUGGAAGAGGGAGAUGGAAUUCCAGGUGUAGCGGUGGAAUGCGUAGAUAUCUGGAAGAACACCAUUAGCGAAGGCGGUCUCCUGGUCCAAUACUGACGCUGAGGCUCGAAAGCUAGGGGAGCAAACAGGAUUAGAUACCCUGGUAGUCCUAGCUGUAAACUAUG